GACCGUUGUCCAGUAAACCCUGUCCCUCGCUCUGGGUUGGGCCACAGGGACUUGACUCUCCCAGGCUUUCUUUCAUAUUUGGAGAGGCCCACCUUACAAGCUCUUAGUCUCACUGAGGCCUAGUCCUCCCUCAAGCCUGAGUAUCACUACAUCUUCCUUGUGGAGAAAAUAGAUGAUCAGAUUAUGUUUUUAACCUCAGAGAGCAGUGAAUUAUGAUUCUAUGGGUUGCCUCACUUAUAUCAUAGGUCUGUCCGUAUGGAUAUAAAGCACAUAUCAAGGCACCCUUCUGAAGCAUAAUAUUAAAAACAGUGAAGUGGAAAAGGAAAGCACUGGAGUGUGCCACUUGGCAAGAUAUUCAGGAAUUUCUGUCAGCCCAUCUUUAGCACGAGCUACUUUCUGAAAGUAAAGGCCUGCAAUAGAACUUGACCCAAAACUUCCCUUUUGGCACUACAGCUUGGAUGCGGAAUUACUGAAACUUGUUAAUGGAGCCACACUGAUAAUGCCAGAAUCUGCAGCUUUUCUAGUUCUCUGUUUCCAGAAUCUGCAUGCUUUCAAAAAGGCAGUAGUGAAGAAGCUGCGGUGAGGGUGGAUCUCCAGCGACCUUUUCCUUCUUCUGAGGAAGAAAGGUCUUUUUUUAAAAAAAGUUUAGAACUUUUUAAAAAAACUCUACACUGGAACACUGGAGUCUCCCCCCCCCCUCCUCCGCCUGCACAAAAUCAGUUAACUGCAUUCUCAAAUUCCUCUCUUGUUGGAAAACAAUAUGAGUGGAGCCCAAGUAAGUCAUCAUGGAAUGGUGGAAUAUUAAAAGAACAGAACUGAGGGCAUUUGCUCAUCCAAUAAUAUUUCCAAGGUACUGUUUUCAAACCAUUGUGCAUGUUUAAUAUACCACACUAUAAAUGAAUACUUAUUUGGGAAUGUAAUGAACAGGGGGAAUGUCUGGAGAUACAUUCCUAUCUUAGACAGAUAUGCGUGGACUAUUAUCCAUCAAAUAAACUG